ACUCAACUAAAACAACAUUAAAAUAUGUAUAUCAACGACAUUCUUAUUACAUUACUAAUAAUACAUCCCGUUCCCAGGUUCUGAAAUCGUUACAUUCUUCGUUCAUUGUAAUAUAAUUCAUACAAACAUACUAGUCUAUUACAGAAUAAACUAGUCGUUCAUCUUCGCCUUGCCUUUAUCUCUACUGGAAACCUCGAUUCGCUCGACCUUAGCUGCAAUCAUAUGAUUCAAGCAAGAAGUGAGCAUAACUAGCUCAGCAAGUCUAACAAUAUAUAAUAAGGAUACCACUUCGAGAAUCAUAUGAUUAUUCUUCAUUAACUGAACAAUAGUUAUGAAGUACUAUGAAACAUUGAAUAACACUUCUCAUCUCAUAAAACAAUUUCAAAGAACAUAUAGUAGAUUGAAAAUUUUGAGUAGGUCCAUAGACCAUGAACAUUUUCUUUAGCUUUUAUUCAUGAAAAGGACAACCUGGUACUAAGACCGUAGGUCCGACAUUUCUUACGAGCACUUCUAGGUGAUCAGCCUAUAGUACUCUAUGUUGAUCAAUACUACAUCCGUUAAACGAAUUUAUGUUUAAGUUUUGGUAACCUUGUGUGCCCAUCGAAUAAUCGAUGUAAAAUACAUUUGUUUAUUCAUACUCAGGCUUACCUUGAAUCCGUACCAAACAAUUGGCGUAGGAUAGCGUUAUCAAUUCUAUAUUGAAAGACUUGUAAAUAAAUCAAUCAAUCUUUCAAGAUUAGUCUAGCCGAGUUAAAACUGGCAUCGACCCUUUUCUUUAAAAUCAUUCAUGCAUCUCAUAACAUAAACCACUAAAAACCUGGCUAACACGAAGGUUAGACAAGCGAUAAGAAAACUUGCCUUCAGCGUCUGCUACAGUAAAAUUACUUUCCCUUUGAGUCUUUACGGUCUCUACAACACAUAAACACAUAACAUACCACAUUAGGUCAUGAACAAACAUAUAUGGUUCCUAAUGAAUCUUACCCUUCUUCUCAAUCUAAUCAUGUAUUAGAUUUGUUAUUAUUGGUUCCGGCUUGCCAUUACGUUGUACAUCGUUCUUACCAACUUCUUUCUCUUCUAUUACUUAACUGAAAUUAUUUUAUUAAUACAACUCGUUUUGAGUUAAUCAUCCUUCCUCACGGCUUACUAACGUUCUUACGUUAUUAAUCGAAACUCGAUCGUCAUUGGUUAAGUACACUUAUUGCAUACCGUUCACUUUCUUAUACUUUACGUUCUUCGUUUAACUACUCAUUAAACAACAUUAAAUUUCUAAAGUCGUCACUAUAAAAGCGAUUUAGGAAAGGUCUAGUCAUGUUCAUUAAGUAAUUACACGUCACAUACUUGUUUUGCAAACCAUUAGGUUCAUAAUCAACUUGGUCAACAAAAUCCCCUUGCUGGCACCGCGCCGCGGCAGCCCUUUGUACUAGUGGCACUGCGGCGCCACUUUCCAAUAUCCAACACCUGGUUUCGGCGCUGCGGCGCGAGACUCAUGCCUACGAGUGGCGCUGCAGCGCGACUCUGCAGUGGCACUCCCUUUGCCCCGGCACUGCAGCGCGGUUUAAAAAGCUCUGUCUGGCGCUGCGGCGCCAGACAUCAGUACCAAAAAAAAUUUGACAGUUAAUUUCUUAGGUGAGAUUCUCGGGCUCAUAACUUCUUCGUUAUAAGUCCGAAUUGGCUCGUUCAAAAGCCAUUAGCUCACAAAUUACAUACUCUACGUGUUCAUGCAAGAAUUUUCUAUUUUUGAAUCUGUUAACUCAAAAUUCACUUAUUAGUUCAUUUUAACGAAAACGAUAAACGUUCGUGAACGUUCGACACUCGUUUCUUCGUUCUAAAUCGGAAUUCGGUCAUUUUCGAGUCCGCAACUUUAGAAUACCAAAUGAGACUAUACUCCAUCGAAAACCAACGUUUCCAAGCUCAAAGUCAAAAUUUGACUUCUAUUCCGAGAAUUUCACAAAUUCGACGAUUAUCGUCUAAUCGUGUGAAUUCUGACAUAACUUCGUUACUUAUGAUUUUUAAACCGUUUCAAAUGGAUUCAAUCCAUCAUACUAACAUCUUAACGUACAUAUACCAUUAACUUAUAUUCAUGAAAAGUUAUUACUUGCUUCUUAUUAUCAUAUAACUUCAUUAUUAUAAACAUAAGACAAGUUCCUACAAGUUCUUCAUUUGUUCAUAACUUAUCUAUGAACAAAGUGCUUAUUCAUGGCUUAUUAAGACUUAAGUCCUUAGAUUAUUCAUUCUUACUUCUUCUUAGCAUACAAAUCCUACCACUACUCACUUCUCUAACAAUUGAAGAGAAAGAGAUUCAUGGUUUAGGUUCUUACCCUUGAAGAUCACUUGAUUAAGCUUUAAUCUUCUUCUUGCUUCUUGAAUUAACAAAGGUCAACUUUUUUUAGCUUUUGUAGCUUUUUCUCUCUAACCAAUAAGCUAUAAGUUAUUGGUGAAAAAUUUAACAACUAAGAAAUGAACUAAGACAUCUCUUAUUUAUAGGAAAUCCUAAAUGAGGGCUUAAUGGUCAAUAAGCCAUUCUACCUCCUUACUAUUCCUAGCUUAACCAUCAAGUUUACUUGAUCACUACAUAUACUUGGUCAUUACUCAACUUAUCCUUUGCUUGCUCAUCACAUAUAAACACUUUGCUUGCUCAUCACACAUAAGUACUUUACUUGUUCAUCACAUUAACUUAUCAUUUACUUAGCCCUUAAGUUUGCUUGCUUAUCACUUUGGAUCACCCAUAGGUUGCCCCAUGGGUUUUAAUCAUCCAAUAACCCAAUAAUUUCUUACUUUGGGCUUUAUAUUCAAUUAGCUUAAUUAACUUAACUUAUAUUUUGGGCUUGCAUUUAACAAACACUUUGGGCUUGUUCAUUAAUUCACUUUGGACCUUAACCUUUAAUUCCAAUUGGACUUAACCAUUCCUAUACUUGGGCUUGUACAAUUGUUAACAAAUUCUACAAGUCCAAUCCAUUUGUCUUAAAACCUUAUAACGUAUAAUAUAUGUAUUAAUCUCGUAUUCCAACUCCUAUACUUAUUCAUAUACGACAUACCAUCAUUCAUACAUACUCGUAUAAUAUCUCGUAUUAUACUCGUAUUCAUUACCUCGUACAAUAACUACAUAUUAUACGAUCAUCACUUUAAUUCAUUAUACACAUUUAAAUUCCUUCUCGGAAAUCACUUUCCUUAACCGUUAGGUUUUAAGUCUGCAAUCGAAAACUUCGUGUGUCAAAACUGAAAUAUUAUUGGAUAUUCCAUCUCGUCUUAAAAUUCUAUCAUUACGCAUUUCUCGGAAAUUCAAAAAUAAUUCACGACCAGAAAUUAGUGAAGUGUUUUUACAGAAAUUUCUCGGAAAAUUUUUAUUUUCGUCUUGAAAAUUCAAACACUUUAAUUCUAUCACGUAGUCAAAAUCCUAACCACAUUCGCACAUUCUAGGUCAUAGAACGACCUUCACAUUGCUUACUCACAUAAAUAAUUAAAUAAAUUUAUUUAAUCCACAUAAUCAAAAUAAAAAUUUAAUUCUCAUAAAAAUUCAAUUUUCUCGAGCGUUACAGUUUCAUUCCAAAUGCCAAGACAAAAAUGAUGAUUCAAAAAAGAAUGUAAUGACAUUCGGUGAAGUACCAACAACAAUAUUACUUGAGAAAGAAUAAUAAGUAAAUAAACAGAAAGAGCCAUAUGUUGAUAUGCAGGCAAUUACAUAUAUGAGAUUCCUAAUGCCUUCACUCUUCUGCCUUUGUGACCAAGGUGGGUCAACCAAUACGUAGCGAAACAGUAUAAAAAAUUCCAACUAUUCUAGCCAAUACCCAAACAUUUUCUAAUUUGGUAAGUCAUGCCAUAUGUAGAAAACAGGAGAAAAGAGUUAUACCUAUCCAACAUCAUGCUAAAAAACACCUCAUGUUAGCACGUUACUUUUUGUUUAUAUUUCAAAAUGACAUAUCACAGAUCUUAUAGUACAAGGCAGAACUGAUACAAUAAUAAAAUUAAUAUACAGAGAUAAUUUCAAGAAGAAGCAUGGGUAUGACAGAGAAAAGGUGAACAGAGCGAACACAUGGUGUGAUAAGGAUUUGGAGUGUGCUUUGGCCGGGAGCUGUCCUGGGGUAUGCCCUUGUGUAUAUUUGUCUUAUGGGGAAUAUGAGGUCUUUUACAUCAUUGUAUUUCAAACUAAGAAUUGUCUUUGUGCCAUAAUUACUAAUAAUUAAAAAAAUUCCAUUCAUCUCGGUGGAAAUUUAUUCCAUUUUGUUGGGAAACUUUUGUCGUGAACUUGUCGUGGCGUUAUUUUUCAAACAAAGGCGGUUCUUGCACUUCAUCAAGUGUUCGUAGUCUGAACUUUGCUCUUUUUUUACAGAUUAGUUUGGAGCCACUAGGAUGUUGACACAAGGACAUGCCAUAAUGAGAAGAAUCAGUAAGAUAUUAUAGACUAUACCCCUAUAUUGCCUUCGUAGGUAUAGAGAUCCUUCUGACAGGCUUGACAGAUUUGUCUUUGCCAGAAAUCCCAUAGGUUAUUUCAAUAUUCUUUGUUUUUUCGUUUUUGAAAAACUUUUAUAUUCAUUUAGAACCUUUUAGACUUUGGCUUUUUUUAGCCAUUAUUUACUCAAAAGGUUUUAACAUAGGUUUUAGCACAUUAAUACGUUAUAUAUGUGGUUAUAAACCAUUUAUAACCCAUUCCAUGAACAUUACAUCCCUUAAUUUGUAAACUCAAUGUUAAAUGGUAUAUUUGUGAUUUAUUUUGCGUAUUUAUAGCUCAUCUUUUGAUUGGAAUGAAUUUAUACAUUACGUAACUAUUAUAUUGUGUUAUAUUUUCAUAGUAAUUCAUUACCACGAGUUAAACUUGAUAAAAUUACCAAAAAUGCAUUGCAAAAAUCAAACAGUUCCAUGACCAGGCAUCUUGGCCUCGUUUGGCCCUAUGUGGCCUUGCGUGGCCCUGCGGGGCUUGGCUUGGCCUUGCCGGCAGCCACCCCCCAAGCCUUGACACUAGAUUUGCCAACUCUUAUUUCAUAAUUCUUUAAUCCAAUUCCAAUGAGUUUUGAAUAAAAUAUAGGUUGUGCGCCCACCCAUUUUGGAAAAAAAAACUAGCCAAACAUUUUGAAUAAUUUAAAUGCGUCAACUGAGAGCUCAAAGGAGCCUCCAACCGCUGUCAUUGCUGCUGCUAUGGGCAGCAACCCUCUUCGCGACAAGGCUAUUUUGCGAUUUUGUAAUUUUUAAUUUGUAAGUUAGUUUGCCUCCAAUUUUGGAUAUGUUAUAAACACCAUAAGAGAAUAUAUUUAGAAAAUAUAAGCCACCGAUUUUAGACAUCAUAGGCAACCCAAGACAGAACUUAAAAAUGCCAAAUCAUAACAUUUUUCAAUUUUUUUUCUCUCGCUAAAACAGUCCUAACUAAUUCGUUUUAAAAUAUUUUUGAGCGAUUCUUGCGCCCACGCGAAGCUAACUUCCAGUGCUACAACUUUCGUUCCUGGACCAUCUUCAAAUUUCAAGCACAAAAUUCCAGAAAAUUCGUGGAAGGGGCUGCUUCGAAUCUGAUUUCCAGAUUUUGGACAAAUUGGACGCACCCGCUUUGACACAUCAUAACUCGGUCGUCUGAACUCGGAACGAGUCCGUUCCAGAGGCUAUGGCUAGCUUGGAUUGCACACUACAAGACCCCAGAAAACUAUGAUUUCCCAGCAAGUCUAACUAGCCGAAACAGUUAGCCCAAAAGUGGUCCAACACACUAUCUUUUGAUUUUGCGUUUUAGGUUAAAAUUGUUUCACUUUCAUUUAAUAUGCCAAAACUCUUUAUUUAUCAUCAUAUAGGAUAAAUAUACCUUACCUUAGCCUCAGAUUUGCUUAAUAGUUGGUUUUUAAAAAAAAUAGUCCAUAUAAGCCUUUUAUCGAACAAGUGGUGUCCGCUGUUUUGGAACACUCAUUUCAUAGCCAUUUAUUUCCCAUUUUAGCUUCCUUAUAUCACCACACAACCAAGUCUAUUCCUUUGUUUCUAAUUCAAGCAAUAGCAGUUUAAUAUCCGUCCACACAUGAAUAAUCAACGAAUUAGCAAACCAACUAGUUUACUAACUUUAAAAACUUUAAUUCUUAAUUCUAAUAUAUUCAAUAUGCAACAAUAUACUCUCCAUACAUAAUUCAUGAUACUGAAAAUUUCCAUGACUUGCUUAAUAAAAAUAACUUACCUUGAAGCACUUGGUUGUAAGAAGAAUUAACUGCACUCUUUAAAUUUGAUGAAGUCCUAGUUUUGAUGAUAGGUUAAUGCAAGUCUCUUUGCUGCUACUGAUUUUAAUUUUUUUUCCCCAAAUCAGUUUAUGGCUUUACUUUCUUAAUGAAUUUGAUGGCUUCUUAUACCGAAAUUGGAAAAAAGUUAGUGCUGAUAACUUUGCGGUUAUGAAACAUGGCAAUUUGUUAGAGAUAGAGAGAGAUGAUGGAACGGGUGGAGAGGAGAUGAAAAUGAGAGAAUGAAAUUAUUUCAGCUCUUUCUCGAACUUAAGAGACACAUGGUUAGUGUCUUGAUGUCCUUCUAUUUGAAUGCCACCUCCUUUCCUAUAUUGACUCAGAACAUAAAUUGAAC
rnacentral:lncRNA from 1 species